rnacentral:lncRNA from 1 species
AUGGUUGCUCCCCGGCGGAAGGCUGCUGCCAGAAAUACUGAGGAGGCCCAGACAAGGGUCCCAUGCUCUCAGAAACGGGAGGCAGCAACCAAGAGUACUGCAGAGACCCAGACUGAGGUCCUGCACAUGCCUGAUAGGAAGGCUGCUGCCAAAAAGUCUGAGAAGACUCAGACUGAGCCCCCAACCCGAGAUGCUGGUGUGCAGGUCUCUGGCUGUACUGAGUGCCAGAGCCUGGCCCUUGCAGUGCUGGGUGAGGGAGGCAGUGACUGUGUUCACUGCGACCAGGUGAACUACUUGCUCAGCCUCGUAGUUGACCUGAAGGAGGAAGUGGAGAGGCUGAGGACUAUAAAAGAGUGUGAGAGGGAGAUUGACUGGUGGUGUCAGUCCCUCUCAGCCUCAAGUUCUCAGCACACAGUCGAGGCUCCUAAUGGAGCAUGUCAGCCCCUGCCACCUUACAAACAGGUGGUAAAGGGGAACCAGCCAGCUGACAGCGCUGCAGCGAGCCCCCUGUCCUCUCUUCCCCCCAGCAGCAACUUGAGAAGGGAGGAGGAGUGGAAACAUGUACCUGCUCAGCAGAGGGGGCAUCCCCCAUCCCAACCAUCCUCAGCUCCCCAGGUGCCUCUGCGAAACAGGUUUGAGGCCCUGGAAUUUGAGGGGGGGACGAGUGAGAGUGUGGAGACAGGUUCACCCAUGAGGUUGCCUCAGGCAAAGCGGUCGCCCCCAAGCCUCAAGACUGCUUCUACCCAUAAGGACAGAAGGGUGAUUGUCGUAGGGGACUCCCUUCUACAUGGAACAGAGGGCCCUAUAUGCCAGCCCGACCCUACCUGCAGAGAGGUGUGCUGCCUUCCUGGGGCACGGGUCAGGGACAUUUCAGAGAUAAUUCCUGGGUUGAUUCGGCCUUCAGGUUACUACCCACUUUUAAUAAUUCAGGCUGGCAGCGAGGAAGUUGGCAAGGAAAGCCUGAGGUCCAUCAAGAAAGACUUCAGGGGAAUGGGGCGNAUAAAGAGAGAGAUGAAAUAUGGUGCUGAUACAUGUGAACGAUGA